ACUCCUACGGGAGGCAGCAGUGGGGAAUAUUGCACAAUGGGGGAAACCCUGAUGCAGCCAUGCCGCGUGUGUGAAGAAGGCCUUCGGGUUGUAAAGCACUUUCAGUAGGGAGGAAGGUAGUNUAGUUAACAUACCUGCAUUAUUGACGUUACCUACAGAAGAAGCACCGGCUAACUCCGUGCCAGCAGCCGCGGUAAUACGGAGGGUGCGAGCGUUAAUCGGAAUUACUGGGCGUAAAGCGCAUGCAGGCGGCCUGUUAAGUCAGAUGUGAAAGCCC
rnacentral:rRNA from 1 species